AACGCUGGCGGCAGGCCUAACACAUGCAAGUCAAACGGUAACAGAAAGCAGCUUGCUGCCUUGCUGACGAGUGGCGGACGGGUGAGUAAUGUCUGGGAAACUGCCCGAUGGAGGGGGAUAACUACUGGAAACGGUAGCUAAUACCGCAUAACGUCGCAAGACCAAAGAGGGGGACCUUCGGGCCUCUUGCCAUCGGAUGUGCCCAGAUGGGAUUAGCUAGUAGGUGGGGUAAAGGCUCACCUAGGCGACGAUCCCUAGCUGGUCUGAGAGGAUGGCCAGCCACACUGGAACUGAGACACGGUCCAGACUCCUACGGGAGGCAGCAGUGGGGAAUAUUGCACAAUGGGCGCAAGCCUGAUGCAGCCAUGCCGCGUGUAUGAAGAAGGCCUUCGGGUUGUAAAGUACUUUCAGCGGGGAGGAAGGGAGUAAAGUUAAUACCUUUGCUCAUUGACGUUACCCGCAGAAGAAGCACCGGCUAACUCCGUGCCAGCAGCCGCGGUAAUACGGAGGGUGCAAGCGUUAAUCGGAAUUACUGGGCGUAAAGCGCACGCAGGCGGUUUGUUAAGUCAGAUGUGAAAUCCCCGGGCUCAACCUGGGAACUGCAUCUGAUACUGGCAAGCUUGAGUCUCGUAGAGGGGGGUAGAAUUCCAGGUGUAGCGGUGAAAUGCGUAGAGAUCUGGAGGAAUACCGGUGGCGAAGGCGGCCCCCUGGACGAAGACUGACGCUCAGGUGCGAAAGCGUGGGGAGCAAACAGGAUUAGAUACCCUGAUAGUCCACGCCGUAAACGAUGUCGACUUGGAGGUUGUGCCCUUGAGGCGUGGCUUCCGGAGCUAACGCGUUAAGUCGACCGCCUGGGGAGUACGGCCGCAAGGUUAAAACUCAAAUGAAUUGACGGGGGCCCGCACAAGCGGUGGAGCAUGUGGUUUAAUUCGAUGCAACGCGAAGAACCUUACCUGGUCUUGACAUCCACGGAAGUUUUCAGAGAUGAGAAUGUGCCUUCGGGAACCGUGAGACAGGUGCUGCAUGGCUGUCGUCAGCUCGUGUUGUGAAAUGUUGGGUUAAGUCCCGCAACGAGCGCAACCCUUAUCCUUUGUUGCCAGCGGUCCGGCCGGGAACUCAAAGGAGACUGCCAGUGAUAAACUGGAGGAAGGUGGGGAUGACGUCAAGUCAUCAUGGCCCUUACGACCAGGGCUACACACGUGCUACAAUGGCGCAUACAAAGAGAAGCGACCUCGCGAGAGCAAGCGGACCUCAUAAAGUGCGUCGUAGUCCGGAUUGGAGUCUGCAACUCGACUCCAUGAAGUCGGAAUCGCUAGUAAUCGUGGAUCAGAAUGCCACGGUGAAUACGUUCCCGGGCCUUGUACACACCGCCCGUCACACCAUGGGAGUGGGUUGCAAAAGAAGUAGGUAGCUUAACCUUCGGGAGGGCGCUUACCACUUUGUGAUUCAUGACUGGG
rnacentral:rRNA from 1 species